AUUCCAGCUCCAAUAGCGUAUAUUAAAGUUGUUGCAGUUAAAAAGCUCGUAGUUGGAUCUCGGGUGCAGGCUUGCGGUCCGCCUCGCGGCGGUCACUGCUCGUCCUGACCUCCACGCCGGUUGUCCGCGCCUUGGUGCUCUUGAUUGGGUGUCUCGGCCGGCCGGAACGUUUACUUUGAAGAAAUUAGAGUGCUCAAAGCAGGCUACUACCGCCUGAAUAAUGGUGCAUGGAAUAAUGGAAUAGGACCUCGGUUCUAUUUUGCUGGUUUUCGGAGCUCGAGGUAAUGAUUAAUAGGGACAGACGGGGGCAUUCGUAUUGCGGCGCUAGAGGUGAAAUUCUUGGACCGUCGCAAGACGAACUACAGCGAUAGCAUUUGCCAAGCAUGCUUUCAUCA
rnacentral:rRNA from 1 species